ensembl:snRNA U6 U6 spliceosomal RNA
UUGCUUUGGCAGCACAUAUACUAAAAUUGGAAUACAGAGAAGAUUAGCAUGGCCCCUGAGCAAGGAUGACCCGCAAAUUCGUGAAGCAUUCCAUAUUCUU